CUUCGCACGCCCGAUCCAGCCCUACGCCCCCUCCGCGGCCGAUCCAUCCUGUUCCGCGGCCGAUCCAUGCCCUAUGCCGCCGCCGAUGCCUCCUCCUCCACCUCCAUUCCCAAGCGACGGCGCCCGCGGCCGCGGCCUUCUCCCCUAGCCACCAUGGCUGCAGAUCCACUCACGGCCGGUCGUCUAAGCUGCAAGCAUGGAUGGAUGGAUCCAGGAAGGUAUCCUUCCUCCCUGGGUGGAGCGAGCUGCACAUCCCGUUCGGCCCUCUGGAGCCGGCCAUCUCCGCCUCCUCCUCGCCGUCGCCGCCGCCGGGGAUCGUGUCUUCACCAAGCGCGAGCUCCGCCCCAUCCGACCGACCGCAAAGGGGUUAUCCAUUGUAAAUUUUCAAGGAAAUUCAAAUGUUCCUCUUCUGGCCGAUUGAAGGGAUACUUGAAGCUAGGGCAAUCCAAGUAAGAUAGCUUCAUCCUCAGGCAACAGGUUUAUGUUAUCUUAUCAUGGAGUCAUUUUUAAGUUUGUGCCCAACGCCUUCAUCCUUAGAAUGGCUGCCCAGAUGGCAAGCCACUGUACUCAGGCGACUGCCGCGCUAGCAGGGUGCUCCAACUUUUGAUGCCGGCGAAGCUUUUGGAAUGAUGGCUACAUAAUUUGUUAGUCUCCGGAAGCUUAAUUAAACUGAGGUUCAGAUGUGUGGCAAAGGAUUUCAAUUUUCCCGUUUACACAAAGGAAACUUGAGGAAGGUUCAGAUUUCUCAUGCUCGGUGCUGUGCUCUCAAGGUUACAUAGACAAAAAUGCCUCCUAUUUACACAACGGCAACCCGACGAAGGAUGACGGGGCGGGUCGGGAGGCGGGGAAAGCCGUCCAUGGCGAUCCUGGUGGCAUUGCUAAUGGCGCCAGUGGCACUGCCGCUCCUCAUGGUGCCCGACACGCUCUCUAUGCGAGGCUCCAACGGCGUGGAUCGCGGCGCCGCCCUGUCGCUCCCAUGCCCGUGCUUCACAGAUCCGUGUUUGAGUCAUGCAUACCUUUAGCUGCCUCCCCUCCAAUGUCCACGACUCUGAUAUACCGUGUUUGUUAGUCUUGACUGGUGUUUGUUCUCCGUAUUGUUGUGCAGGAGGCUGGAGAACAGCAGGGAGAAAAGGGAGUCGUGGAUGGAGACUUGUCCUACAUGGCCGAGUGAGAUCGAGGCUAGCCGCCGGUAAUGUUCUUCUCCCGUGCAAGUUCCGCACUGCAUUGAAGCAUCCAACACAUGAUGUAGCUACGUUACAGGUGGGACAUCAGCCAAGUAUGUUUCGAGGUGAGACAUCCAUCAAGUUUGUUUGGAGGUGAGACAUCCAGCAAGUUUGUUUGAAGCAUGUGCAGACCUUCUCACAGAUGUUUGUUCAUAUAUAAAAUUGACUAUUCCAAAUAGUACACUGAUAAUUUUGCCGAACGAAUCUUAUUUGAAGCAAAUAAGGGCCUUAGAAGAAAAUAAGAAAAAAUUGUGCAGUCCAGCUCCACUGUGUCCAGCUCAUCUGACCAUGUGCUCCACUGCAUCUAGGUCAGCCGAUCUUGUGGCAGAGCUACACUGACGCAAGAGCAAAUAGUUUUACAAUUUCUUUGUUGUUCCUUUGUACUGGAUAACUGUGCAUUUUUAGAGGUGUGAAGAUGUAAUGCAAUAACAGUAACUGGGCGUAGGCACAUCCGUCUCGAUAAGCAUUAUGGGAACGGACAAAGGCAAGGCAUUCCAAUAUAAGAAAUGGAUGAAGGCAAGGUAUGUCAUUCUAAAAAAAGGCAAGGAAACCAGGAUGCUGCAUUGCUUAAUGUCCAGUUCUCUACGCUUUCCCUAUAGCAACCUUUUUUAGAUCUUAUGAGUUGUGUUUUCCUAACAAAAAAAUGUCCAUAUGGAUUCACUGAAACAAGAUUAUAUUAUCAGCAAUUUUGUUUGCAUGUAA